ensembl:lncRNA
AGUCGGCCGAAGCGUUCGGGUACUCCCUCUUGUUUACUUUUUUUUUCCUCUUUCGUUUACUUUUAACACAAUAUGUGAGAUAGGAAGUUUUGUUAUCCACUCUCUACAGAUGUAGAAGCCAAAGCCCAGAAUGGUUACGGAACCGGUCUAAAGUAUCAAAGCUAUGAGAUGCUGCUGCUCCUUACCUUGGAUGAGGGGUAUCUCCUUACCGCCGCCGUUCCUAUACAAGUCAGCAAAAACAAGACCGGGAGCUGACUGUGGCUCAGAUCAUGAACUCCUUAUUGCCAAAUUCAGACUUAAAUUGAAGAAAGUAGGGAAAACCACCAGACCAUUCAGCCUUGUUACCUUAAUUUGUACUUUGGAUAAAACAGCUGUAGCAGACAACCCCCAGAUCUCAGCAUCUUAACAGGAUAAAGACUUCGGUAUCACAUAGUCCAAUGUGGAUGUCUGUGGUCAAGUAACUCAGGAAUCUGGAUCUGUCCAUGCUAUGGAUCUGUCAUCUUAACUAUGUGGCCUCAGGUUGCCCAGAUGUCAUCCUGCCAGCAGAUGGGGAAGAGAAACUAUGUGGAGAAACUGUAACUACUAUUAACCUCUUCAGUUCAGAAGUAACACAUCACUUCUGCUUAUAUUCCACUGGUGGUAACCAGUUCUAUGGCUUUACCUCACUGCAAAGGGGCUGGGGGUCAAAUUUAGCCAUGCCCCAUUUCCA